GUAGUUCUUUCCAGCUCUCUACAGCUCUCUCUCUCUCUACUUCGCUCCUCCUUCUCAACUCCUAAAGCCACCAUGAGUUCCUCUUCUUCCGACGAUGAGGGUGGCGGCCCGAAGCUCCCUCACGACGUCGCCGUCGAGAUCCUGAAGCGGUUGCCGGCGAGAUCCUCCUCCGAUUCAGGUGCGUCUGCCGGUCGUGGCGAUCUGCCAUCGACGACCCUCGUUUCGUGCCCUCCACUGGAGCCACUCCGCCCACCACGCCUCCAGUCGGCAUCUCGCGUGUCUAGAUUGCGGCGACGACGCCGUUCAGAACCGGUGCUCUCUGUUCCCCAACGCGCCUCUCGCCCAGUCUCCUUCCCCGUCGCAAAUCGAAAUCCCGUUCGUUGCUCCUCCCAACCGUUAUGCCCUCGUUGGUUCGUGUAACGGUUUGAUCUGCGUCUCGGAGAGUUCCAGUGACGGCACUGAGCGGGCGCUGUAUCUGUGGAAUCUAUUCACCAGGAAGCACAAGGCGGUUCAGCUCCCCCGUCCGGAGCGGAGGCAACCCCUUUCCAUGGGGGGCGCUCGUGUAGCUCAAGGGUUUUGCUUCGACGGUAAGUCUAAUGACUAUCGUGUCGUGAGGGUUAUCCGAUUUGUAGGUGAUCGCCAUCGGCGCUUCCGCGACAGGGAGUCUCGAAUCGAGGUUUAUUCGCUCCGUGCAGAUUCAUGGAGGACUUCAAAUUGUGAGGUUCCUUUCUCUGCCACGGCAGCAGUGCGGUCUUCUUGAAUGGGAAUCUGCACUGGUGUUCUUUUAAUGGAAAGUGGGAUGGAUACGGAUCCAAAGCCUUGUUCAAUAUUGCGGGUGAGGUGUUUGACGUAUCCAUAGCCUUGUUCAAUAUUGCGGAUGAGGUGUUUGAUAAAAUGGCUCUGCCGGAAGAGAUGCUUCUCAUAGACAGUCUCCAUUUUGUGUUGUCUGUGGCGGUAUUGAAUGGCUUGCUGGCUGUAUUGUUUAGCGGUGGGGAGGCGACUGAGCGGUUUGAUUUGAAUUGCGCUUGUUUCGUUUGGGUUAUGAGAGACUACGGUGACCCUGAGUCUUGGACUAAGCUGUAUACUUUCGAGGCUACUGUACCAGUAACAAGAUUUGAUGGCUUCAUGUGGAAUGGCGAGCUUCUUAUGGAAAUAUAUUGUAAAGAACGAGUUUCUUGGAAUCCGAUCACGGGACAAUUCUCAAUUCUUCCAUUGUCAGCGAGAUACGAACUGGUCCCCGUCAUAGAGAGCCUUUUUCCACUUUAGAUAUGACUCGAUUGCUGCUACAUUUAUUGGUAAAGAUUGAUUCUGACUGCUGAAAAGUUGAAAGUUACAUCUGAAUUGAGAAGUCAGGUGCAACGUGCUGGAGCUCUUCUUUAUUAACAGGAAUUCUGGUGAUUGGCAAUCCGAGUUCACCUGGCUCUAGCAAAAAUGGGGGAACGGCAAAGAACAGCAGAAAGUGAUGUUGCAGUUUCUUCGGAAUAGUUUGCGUGGAAGGUAAGAAACGAUCUGCUUCAUGGUCAAGCUACUGCUCCCUUGGAGCAUGUUCUUAGAUUGAUUGAUUUUUUGCUUAACAUCAAUUUGAAGGCUAUCUAGUUUCAAAAGGAUACAUAUUGUGCUUAUGAUUGUCUAUAUAGUGACAGGGAUAGUGAAAAGCUAAAAUGUGUGAGAUUUGCUUAUACUAUCAUCUAUAAUGAGUAUGUCUCUUUAUAUAA